rnacentral:sRNA from 1 species
ACCCUACUGUUGUCAUAGUUUCAAACCCAGUUACUGCCAUUAAAGUCAUCACCUUGAUUUCUAAUUAGGGUUGGCUUUGCUAUUGUCGAUCGCACAAUAAGGGGUUGUUCGUGGUUACUUUGUUGUACUGUUUGUCCAUUUAUUGUUGUUUCUGUAGAUGUAUCUUUCUUAAUUUGAUUAACACUCAAUACAUUAACCUUGUUUUCCAAGAAGGGAUAACCCGAUAAAUAAUAGCGGUGGUUUUUGAGUUCAGUUAAUGUUGGCUUGGCAAACAGCUUUAAGCUAUUACCUAAUUGCUCAUAAGUUUUGAUGGCUGGUUGGAUAAAAUGGUCAAACACCUUUUUAUCAACUGGGUUAUCUAAAAAUAAGGUUAGCUCUAACACCGCAAAGUCAGCAUAGGCAAGACUGUCUGAUGUAUUUGCUGUAUUAGAUUCCUUUUUAUCAUCAGCAUCCUUUUGUUGAAUUCACUCAAACGGUUGGGUUUCCGCUUGCUCCUUUUGCUUAUCGUUUUCUCCAUCCUUUGGUUGCUUCUUUUUAUUUUCUGUAUCAUUUUGCUUCUUUUUGUCUUUUGGCAAAGUGUAGUUGACAAAGUCAUGCGCUGUAAAAGCGGUUUUGGGAAUUACUGUGGUUUGGACAUUAACAAAGGCUUGAGCAUUAUUGGGCAAUUUAACUUGACUAGGUUCGACAAAAUCACGAACGUGAGUGUAUUUGCCUAUUCGAAAAGCGGUCGUUCAAUCGGCACUGGUAUCAGAGUUUUUAUAAGGAUCGUAAUCCUGUUGGUUUUUUAAAACGGCUGCGACAUGUAAGUUGGUGGCUAAAUAAACCCGAAAGGGUUCAUUUAACCCCCCCCGCUACCUUUUCAAUCAAUGAGCCAGCCAGUGCCAGAAAAGGCGCUAAAGUUAUCUUGCCCAUUGUUAGUAGUUUUAUUAGUAAAAGUUAAAGCAAAGGUUAAAUCAUAGUUGGCACGGUGAAUCGAACCACUACUAGGAAUAUUACUUACAUAGAACUGAUCCCACUUUUCUAGUGGCACUGCAGCACAAGCACUUAAUACAGUUAAGGAAGCUAUGCUAGCGAGAAAACCAAGGCGCUUGAAAGCCACAAUCAUAAUGGUGUUAAUUCUAAUAAAGAGUUAAUUAGCUACUUUUACAACUAGCCACUAGUCGAUUCAUUACCCCAAGUUAUGCCUUUUAGUCUUUUCGACAAAGCGGAAUUCAUCAUUGUUAAUUUGCUUAAUUUGCUCGUAUAAAUGGGUUUUGUGUUCUUUGACAAACUGAGCAUAGUAUUUUGUGGUAUUUUUAUUACCAAAGAUUAAAUCAUAAGCCACACUUCUAGCUUCAUCAUUGUGAUAAGUUUCUGGUUUUCAGCGUAAUAACUGUGCUAAGCCUAAUUCAUUGUUAGCACCAUCAACGCCAAAGUAAAUGCCAGCGAUUUGUUUCUUAUCAUUUAACAACAAAGAACCAGAAGAUCCACCGCCUAAAUCAAGAUGACUAAUGCCUAUACUUUGGCCAUAGAUUCGGUACUUUUUGCCCGAAAACUCAAGAUAAACCUUAAAUUUCUGGGAGAGAUCAUAGUUCAAAGCUCAGGGACUACCAGUAAAAUUAUCGCCUUUAUUCCUAAUUAAAGUGGGUUUAACUUGAUUAGUUGAGAUAAUAGCUGGUUUUUCAUGGGAUAUUUGUGUAUUUUCGCCUAAAUAUUCCUUUCUUUUUUCCCGUUUGGUUAAGAAAUAGUGAUGACACUUUAUUUUUUAAAAAAGGAUAACCUAACACAUAAUAGCGAUUUUGUUUUAAUUGAUCCAGUGUGGGGUUAGCAAAAAUGUUAAGGCUAUCACCUAACUGUUUAUAAGUGCGUAUGGCUGGUUGAAUAAAGUGAUUAAAGAUUUUGCGAUCUACUUUACUUUUCGAAAAUAAGGGAAUUUCUAAAAUUGCAAACUCAGCAAAAGGCUGAACAUCAGAAUUCUUAGUAUGACUGUUUUUCACCCAUUGUUGUUUUCUCUUUUCUUUAUCUUUUUGUUCUUGAGGAAAACUGUAAUCCACAAAGUCCCUAGCAGCAAAAGCGGUUUUGGGAAUUACACUUGUUUGCACAUUGACAAGAGCUUGCGCAGCAUUGGGUAAACCAAAUUGAUUGGGUGAAACAAAAUCACUAACCUUAGUGUAUUUACCUAACCUAAAGGUAGUAGUUCAACCAGCAUCAUCUUUAUUUUUAUAAGGUUCAUAAUCUUGCGGAUUUAUUAAUGAUGCUGCUACGUGUAAGUUAGUUGCUAAAUAAGCACGAAAGGGAUCAUUCUCUUUCUUUUUAUCAGGUUCCUUUCAAUCAAUUAAUCAACCAGUACCAUAUGUGACACUAAAUUUGGCUUCACCGUUGCUAGUGAUUCUAUUAGUAAAAGUAAGCGAGAAGUUUAAGUCAUAGUUGAAUCGGUGGAUUUCCGUACUACUAGGGAUAUUGUUAAUGUAAAACUCUUGCCACUUAUCAAAGGCUGCACAAGCACUUAAAAAAGUUAAAGAGAAUAUGCUAACAAUAAAACCAAGACGCUUGAAAACAACCAACAUCGUGGCUUAAUUCUAACAAAGGGUUAAGGAGUUAAUUUUUAAGCAAAAUCCCAAAGGUUUUAACUACAAAUUUUUAACACUUUUGGUUUUUGACGAAGGUAAAUUGUUGAUCAUUGCUUCUAUCAAUUUGUUCGUAUAAAUGGGUUUUAUGUUCUUUAGCAAACUGAGCAUAGUAUUUUGUGGUAUUUUUAUUGCCAAAUAUUAAAUCGUAAGCAACACUGUCUUUUUCUUCAUCAUUAUUUUUCGCUUGUCAACGUAAUAACUGUGAGAAGCCUAAUUCGUCUUUAGGGCCAUCAACACCAAAAUAAAUACCAACAAUCUGCUUCCUAUCAUUUAACAGCAAAGAACCAGAAGAGCCACUGCUUAAAUUAAGGUCACUAAUGACUAU